AAAUAGAUACCCUGGUAGUCCACGCCCUAAACGACUGUCGACUAGGUGUUCGGGAAGGAGACUUCCUUAGGUACCGCGAGCUAACGCGUGAAGUCGACCGCCUGGGGAGUACGGUCGCAAGAUUAAAACUCAAAGGAAUUGACGGGGACCCGCACAAGCGGUGGAUGAUGUGGAUUAAUUCGAUGCAACGCGAAAAACCUUACCUACCCUUGACAUGGUCGGAAGCCCGAUGAGAGUUGGGUGUGCCCGAAAGGGAGCCGACACACAGGUGCUGCAUGGCUGUCGUCAGCUCGUGUCGUGAGAUGUUGGGUUAAGUCCCGCAACGAGCGCAACCCUUGCCAUUAGUUGCCACAUUCAGUUGGGCACUCUAAUGGGACUGCCGGUGACAAACCGGAGGAAGGUGGGGAUGACGUCAAGUCCUCAUGGCCCUUAUGGGUAGGGCCUCACACGUCAUACAAUGGCGCAUACAGAGGGUUGCCAACCCGGCGAGGGGGGAGCCGAAUCCCAGAAAGUGCGUCGUAGUCCGGAUCGGAGUCUGCAACUCGACUCC
rnacentral:rRNA from 1 species